GUAAAUAUAGUUUAAACAAAACAUUAGAUUGUGAAUCUAAUAAUAGAGUCUUACACCCUCUUAUUUACC
rnacentral:tRNA from 1 species